AAAAGUACUUGCUAUAAAACCAAAUUCUCCAGUCAGUGUUUGUGUCCUGCAGCUGCAGUGCAACUGAAUAUCAUUAAUAUUUUACAGUUUUGGGGUGAUAAUGGAAAUGCUACUGUAUGGAGUUCUGCUGUUGAUUAUUUCAUCUGUUAGCGGUCAGUCUUUGACCUCCUCAGAUUCUGUGGUCAAAAGACCAGGAGAAUCAGUCACUCUGUCCUGCAGUGUGUCUGGAUUCUCAAUGAGCAGCUACUGGAUGGGCUGGAUCCGUCAGAAACCAGGAAGAGGACUGGAAUGGAUUGGGAGUAUAGAUAGUGGCACAACUACAUAUUAUGCUCAGUCUCUACAAGGCCAGUUCUCCAUCACAAAAGACACCAGCAAAAACAUGCUGUAUUUAGAGGUGAAAAGCCUGAAGACUGAAGACACAGCUGUUUAUUACUGUGCAAGAGAUUCACACUACUACAUGCACUGGAUCAGACAGAAGCCAGGGAAAGCUCUGGAGUGGAUUGGGAGAGUUAACUCUGGUAGUGUUGAUUAUGCAGAUACAAUGGAAAACCACUUCACACUGAGUGAGGACGUGUCUCAAAGUACACAGUAUCUUGAAGCCAAGAGUCUGAGAGAAGAGGACACUGCUGUUUAUUACUGUGCUCGAGAGUCACAGUGA